rnacentral:rRNA from 1 species
UACGUAGGGUGCAAGCGUUAAUCGGAAUUACUGGGCGUAAAGCGUGCGCAGGCGGUUGUGUAAGUCUGUCGUGAAAUCCCCCGGGCUCAACCUGGGGAAUUGCGAUGGAGACUGCACGGCUAGAGUGUGUCAGAGGGGGGUAGAAUUCCACGUGUAGCAGUGAAAUGCGUAGAUAUGUGGAGGAACACCGAUGGCGAAGGCAGCCCCCCUGGGAUAACACUGACGCUCAUGCACGAAAGCGUGGGGAGCAAACAGG